UGGGGAAUUUUGGACAAUGGGCGAAAGCCUGAUCCAGCAAUGCCGCGUGUGUGAAGAAGGCCUUCGGGUUGUAAAGCACUUUUGUCCGGAAAGAAGUCCUUGGCUCUAAUACAGUCGGGGGAUGACGGUACCGGAAGAAUAAGCACCGGCUAACUACGUGCCAGCAGCCGCGGUAAUACGUAGGGUGCAAGCGUUAAUCGGAAUUACUGGGCGUAAAGCGUGCGCAGGCGGUUUGCUAAGACCGAUGUGAAAUCCCCGGGCUCAACCUGGGAACUGCAUUGGUGACUGGCAGGCUAGAGUAUGGCAGAGGGGGGUAGAAUUCCACGUGUAGCAGUGAAAUGCGUAGAGAUGUGGAGGAAUACCGAUGGCGAAGGCAGCCCCCUGGGCCAAUACUGACGCUCAUGCACGAAAGCGUGGGGAGCAAACAGGAUUAGAUACCCUGGUAGUCCACGCCCUAAACGAUGUCAACUAGUUGUUGGGGAUUCAUUUCCUUAGUAACGUAGCUAACGCGUGAAGUUGACCGCCUGGGGAGUACGGUCGCAAGAUUAAAACUUAAAGGAAUUGACGGGGUCAUAGCUGUUUCCU
rnacentral:rRNA from 1 species